rnacentral:rRNA from 1 species
CCUACGGGAGGCAGCAGUGGGGAAUAUUGGACAAUGGGGGCAACCCUGAUCCAGCAAUGCCGCGUGGGUGAAGAAGGCCUUAGGGUUGUAAAGCCCUUUCGGCGGGGAAGAUGAUGACGGUACCCGCAGAAGAAGCUCCGGCUAACUCCGUGCCAGCAGCCGCGGU